CCUACGUGUGGCAGCAGUGAGGAAUAUUGGUCAAUGGACGGAAGUCUGAACCAGCCAUGCCGCGUGCAGGAAGACGGCUCUAUGAGUUGUAAACUGCUUUUGUACAAGGGUAAACCUGAAUACGUGUAUUCAGCUGAAAGUACUGUACGAAUAAGGAUCGGCUAACUCCGUGCCAGCAGCCGCGGUAAUACGGAGGAUGCGAGCGUUAUCCGGAUUUAUUGGGUUUAAAGGGUGCGCAGGCGGAGGUGCAAGUCAGCGGUCAAAUUGCGGGGCUCAACCCCGUACUGCCGUUGAAACUGCAUCCCUUGAGUGCGCGAGAAGUAUGCGGAAUGCGUGGUGUAGCGGUGAAAUGCAUAGAUAUCACGAAGAACCCCGAUUGCGAAGGCAGCUUACUAAACUGUGACUGACAUUGAUGCUCGAAAGUGUGGGUAUCAAACAGGAUUAGAUACCCGUGUAGUC
rnacentral:rRNA from 1 species